rnacentral:rRNA from 1 species
GCUUUGUAUGUACCCAUUGAAUAAGCAUCGGCUAACUCCGUGCCAGCAGCCGCGGUAAUACGGAGGAUGCGAGCGUUAUCCGGAUUUAUUGGGUUUAAAGGGUGCGUAGGUGGGGAAAUAAGUCAGCGGUGAAAGUUUGUCGCUCAACGAUAAAAUUGCCGUUGAAACUGUUUCUCUUGAGUAUGUUUGAGGUAGGCGGAAUGCGUGGUGUAGCGGUGAAAUGCUUAGAUAUCACGCAGAACUCCGAUUGCGAAGGCAGCUUACUAAACCAUAACUGACACUGAAGCACGAAAGCGUGGGGAUCAAACAGGAUUAGAUACCCUGGUAGUCCACGCAGUAAACGAUGAUUACUAGGAGUUUGCGAUACACAGUAAGCUCUACAGCGAAAGCGUUAAGUAAUCCACCUGGGGAGUACGCCGGCAACGGUGAAACUCAAAGGAAUUGACGGGGGCCCGCACAAGCGGAGGAACAUGUGGUUUAAUUCGAUGAUACGCGAGGAACCUUACCCGGGUUUGAACGCAUUUGGACGUACGGUGAAAGCUGUAUUCUAGCAAUAGUCAUUUGCGAGGUGCUGCAUGGUUGUCGUCAGCUCGUGCCGUGAGGUGUCGGCUUAAGUGCCAUAACGAGCGCAACCCUAAUUUUCAGUUACCAUCAGGUGAAGCUGGGGACUCUGGAAAGACUGCCGGCGUAAGCUGCGAGGAAGGUUGGGAUGACGUCAAAUCAGCACGGCCCUUACAUCCGGGGCGACACACGUGUUACAAUGGGGGGGACAAAGGGCAGCCACUGGGCGACCAGGCGCGAAUCCCUAAACCCCUUCUCAGUUCGGAUCGGAGUCUGCAACUCGACUCCGUGAAGCUGGAUUCGCUAGUAAUCGCGCAUCAGCCAUGGCGCGGUGAAUACGUUCCCGGGCCUUGUACACACCGCCCGUCAAGCCAUGGGAGUUGGGGGUACCUAAAGUCCGUAACCGCAAGGAUCGGCCUAGGGUAAAACUGAUGACUGGGGCUAAGUCGUAACAAGGUA